CAUCUAAGCGGGAAACUUGCCUCAAGAUGAGAUCUCACUGGAACCUUGAGUUCCCUGAAGGGCCGUCGAAGACUACGACGUUGAUAGGUUGGGUGUGUAAGCGCUGUGAGGCGUUGAGCUAACCAAUACUAAUUGCCCGUGAGGCUUGACCAUAUAACACCCAAGCAAUU
rnacentral:rRNA from 2 species